rnacentral:lncRNA from 1 species
GCCCUUCUCUGUCGUGCCCGCGUGGGCGCGCCAGUGGCGGAACUUGGGCUUGAUUAAGGCGAUCCCUACGAGUGGAGGAGCAAGCCAUUAUAGAAGCAACGUGUAUCCCAAGCAUCAAGACUGGCACCUCCAAGCUCCUUCCCCCUGGAACUUUACUCAACAUUUCAGCAUCAGGCCAUUAUAGCUUUGAAUUGUGCCUUUGAGCAUCUCUGUUUUUGCAUCCAUUAACAAGAUGUGUCCUAAGAAAUCAUUUAUGAUGGCGAGAACCCUGCUGGCCAUCUUAUAUGCCCCUAAGGACGGCAUAGAAGGAGCUGACUGCUGAUGGCUUGAAGACAAAUUGGAGAUGGCAGAAAAAAGACUCAGUGGCCUUGAAGGAAGCCAUGUGGAAUUGCCACAGAAGCCAAGGAGUUGAAAGGCAUUCCAGGCUGCUGCAGCUACUCAAAGAAGUCAUCAAGGACCCGUGUUCCUCCUAGUGCCCCAGUUCUCCAUCCUUAGGAUGUUUCUUCCAUCUUCAUGGUGACAAGAUGGCUUCUCCACCAUCAAGCACUGUGUCCAUGAGUCAGGCAGAAAGAAGAGGGGCAAGGCAAUGGGCUUGUUCCCAGAAGCCCCACCAAGCCACUGUCUAUAGGAUUGAGAAUCAGCCAGAACUAUAUUAUAUGGUACCGUGAAUGAAAAAUGUUGCCUGCCAUAUCAGUAAAUAAAGGAUGUUGCAGCCACUGAGGUAUGACAGCCACCUCUACUGGCACACUCUGAGGGAACUCAGGAUUGGAAAGAGCAGGAAACUGGCCCUAGACAGCUAAGGUGCGUAUCAAAGGCAUGAUUUCAAUGAGCCCAGACUCUUGCAUCGUCCCACACAUAGAAAAGUGCUAAAGUCAUAAUUUUCUUUGAUUAACAGUAAUCUUUUGAAGUUCCAACUAUACCUGGUCUUUGUUGCAGAAACUCCUAUAUAUUCUGGCUCCUCCUUUACCUCUUCAGAACAAUCCCUCAGAGCAACCUGAGAGGCGGCAUUCUGGACUUAUGUCUUCAGUUUUGUCUAUCAAAUAAAAUAUAAUUCUUGACUUUCAGGUGUGCAAUUUUUUGGCCAUGCCCACAGCAUGUGAAGUUCCCCAGCCAGAGAUCAAAUCUGCACCACAGUUGUGGCAAUCCCGGCUCUACCACUUGGGAACUUCCUAGAUGUAUUUUUUCGGUCAACAGAGCCCACAAGAGAGGCUGAAAGUUCAAUGUUAUAAGUGGGUUCUUUGUGCUUGGAAUAGAUUCUGUGAGUAAAGAUAAGAGAGAGAAUAGCUAUUCUAGACUUGCCAGGUCUGCAACACUGGCAUAGUAUGUACCUUGAAAAUGCUAAUUAUAAACCUGAUUUUUUUCUCUUUUUUUGCAACUCUGAAAUUUCUUAGGAGGAUUUAGAGUGGAAGCUCAUAGAAAACAUUAAUUCUCUGUGGAGAAAUAUUAAAGACUACCACUUCAAAAAGUAUUGGACUAUACCUUGCAGACUCUCUUAAAUAUUGUUAAUAAAGGACAGAGAAUAAUGCUGCCAGAAGGACUCUGGGAAUUUAAUACAACUUUAAGUAAAGCAACAAAACAACAAACAGAAAUGUGUAUGAUUUGCAUUCUCUCCACAACUCUUUAUUUGUGAAAUGUAUUAAACUGAAUCAAAACACAUGACAUAGAAAUUUGACUUUCAUCCAGAAUAAAACUGCUGAUAGAUUCUCC